UACGGAGGGUGCAAGCGUUGUUCGGAUUUAUUGGGCGUAAAGCGCGUGUAGGCGGUCUUCUAAGUCAUGAUGGUGAAAGCCCCUGGGCUCAACCCAAGGAAGUGGCAUUGGAUACGUGGAAGACUUGAAUACGGGAGAGGGUAGUGGAAUUCCUAGUGUAGGAAGUGAAAUCCGUAGAUAUUAGGAGGAACACCGGUGGCGAAGGCGGCUCCUGGACCGAUAUUGACGCUGGAGACGCGAAAGCGUGGGGAGCAAACAGG
rnacentral:rRNA from 1 species